rnacentral:rRNA from 1 species
CCUACGGGAGGCAGCAGUGAGGAAUAUUGGUCAAUGGACGAGAGUCUGAACCAGCCAAGUAGCGUGAAGGAUGACUGCCCUAUGGGUUGUAAACUUCUUUUAUAAAGGAAUAAAACGAGGCACGUGUGCAUUUUUGCAUGUACUUUAUGAAUAAGGAUCGGCUAACUCCGUGCUAGCAGCCGCGGUAAUACGGAGGAUCCGAGCGUUAUCCGGAUUUAUUGGGUUUAAAGGGAGCGUAGGCGGGAUGGUAAGUGAGUUGUGAAAGUUUGGGGCUCAACCGUGAAAUUGCAAUGGAUACUGGGAGUCUUGAGUGCGCGGGAGGUAGGCGGAAUUCGUGGUGUAGCGGUGAAAUGCUGAGAUAUCACGAAGAACCCCGAUUGCGAAGGCAGCUUACUGAAGCGUGACUGACGUUGAUGCUCGAAAGCGUGGGUAUCGAACAGGAUUAGAUACCCGAGUAGUC